rnacentral:tRNA from 1 species
GGGCCCGUAGCUCAAUUGGCAGAGCAACGGCCUUUUAAGCCGUGGGUUGAAGGUUCGAUUCCUUCCGGGCUCA